CUUUCCUUUGGUGGUUUUAUUCCAUAUCCUUUUAUAAACAGAGAAGCCUCUUAUCUUCACAGCUUAACUCAUUAGUUUUGAAGAGUUUGCAGGAUGACAUUAAAUUUCCUGUUUCGUUAAUAGCUAUCAGGCUUUUCAGAUUUGGAUGUACAUCGGGACAUAUUCCAAUUAUCUCCUAUUUCUUUGAAUCAUAAUGUCCUUGUGCCUCGGCCUUUAUGCUGGUUGUAUUAAUAUGAUGCUUCUUCAAAGGUGCCAUCAGUCAAACAGUGUAUCUGUUGUGUGCUGCCUUCUCUGAUAACAAAGGUUUCCAAAUAACGUACCAUAAAUAAAACAGAAGAAUUAGCCUAAUGCCAGUCGAGCUAUACCACAUUCCAUUUAUCCCUCAACACGCCACCCGCACGUGUCACUGGUAUGCCUUCCCUCAUUCCUAAAUUACAUAUUUAGUGUGCAUUUAUCUUACCCAACUAAACAAUUGUAGAACACUACAGAAAGCAGGUGAGGAUUGGCUGCUAGAUUUCAUGUGCAUUUUCAGUCAAUUGUGACAUCUUGCUCAUUCACAGUGAAUAAGGGACAAGCCAAUUCUGAGCUCAGGGGUCAACACAUCUGAUAGCUCCUUUAAAGUUUAAGUGGAGCCAACACCUCAAGACAUGGAAAUCCCAGCCACCACUGGGCAGAAGCGGACUUGAUGUCUACACUGGAAACAUGGUGCCACUUGCUUCAGGAUCUUUCUUGCAGUAUCUGGUUAUCUACAGGAUCACAUUCUCCUGCACAAUCCGCCCUCUGGUGAGUGGCUAUUCAUACCAGUCAGAACCUGACUGGCGACUGUCACCCAGAGGACCUUUAAAUUAGCCACCCCUUGACUGUGGAAUGACCUGCCAGAAGAGAUCUGACAGCUAAAUGAGCAAAAGAUUCUUUAAAAAGAACUCUUCAGCGAAGCCAAGGAAGUGUGACUUCUGGAGAACCCCUCCACUGCUGCAAGGGAUUAUGGGACACAUUUAUUUAAUAGCAAAAGUGCAAAGAUAGAAACUCGUCAAUGGGACAAAAUCUUAAAAAUGAUACUUUUGCUAACUAGUACACUAUGUGGUAAGGGAUGUUGAAAACAUAACUGAAGCAUCCACAUCCAGCCAGUAUCAAUGUGCUCACUAACCACAGCCUAUUGUCUUCCUGAAAGCAAAGAAAUAAAACCUUUCAUGCAUUA